GGCGCGCCGCUCGCGCUGAUAACGCGAUGCAAUGCCGGCCUGCGCACGCGCAUAGCUUUAAGCUCGCUCGCUCCUUCACCCCCAGUGGAUUCUAGAGUGCUACUGACUCGGAUAUUGUGAUUGAUAAAGUUUCAACGUGAUAGCGAAAGUGAAAACAGUUGUGUUAUAACUAUACCUAUAUAAUUAUCGGAUUCUUUCGUACUUUAUUUGUGUGAUUUUUAUACAUUCAAAAAAGGAUAAUUCACAAUCAUCCGUACUAAAGGUACGCAAUUUGUUCUUGAUCUUCGCGGCAGAUUUAUAUUGAAGUGUGCAAAAAUUGCCGCCAAACUGACUACCGCAAAUGAGAUUAUACCCAAAUAUCACAUCGAAGCGC